UCCUACGGGAGGCAGCAGUGAGGAAUAUUGGACAAUGGGGGGAACCCUGAUCCAGCCAUGCCGCGUGCAGGAAGACUGCCCUAUGGGUUGUAAACUGCUUUUAUACAGGAAGAAACUGCGCUACGUGUAGCGUACUGACGGUACUGUAAGAAUAAGGAUCGGCUAACUCCGUGCCAGCAGCCGCGGUAAUACGGAGGAUCCAAGCGUUAUCCGGAAUCAUUGGGUUUAAAGGGUCCGUAGGUGGUCUAUUAAGUCAGAGGUGAAAGCCUAUCGCUCAACGAUAGAACUGCCUUUGAUACUGAUGGACUUGAGUUAUUGUGAAGUAGUUAGAAUAUGUAGUGUAGCGGUGAAAUGCAUAGAUAUUACAUAGAAUACCGAUUGCGAAGGCAGAUUACUAACAAUAUACUGACACUGAGGGACGAAAGCGUGGGUAGCGAACAGGAUUAGAUACCCUGGUAGUCCACGCCGUAAACGAUGGUCACUAGCUGUUUGACUAACAUUGGUUAGUUGAGUGGCUAAGCGAAAGUGAUAAGUGACCCACCUGGGGAGUACGCUCGCAAGAGUGAAACUCAAAUGAAUUGACGG
rnacentral:rRNA from 1 species